CUUUAUUUCACAGAAUUGAAAAGAUUUAAUUAAUUAUGCAUGUCACUUGGAGUAACAAAUCCUUUACGACCUGAGAUCUUCCAUCACAAACUAUUCCUUGGGAAGGCAUUACUCCUUCACGUUGAUCUGUCCUGGCCUGAAGGAGAAGCUGUGCUUCUGUGACCGUCCCAGGGAUGCUUCUCAUCCCCUAUAACUCCUGUUAUUCCUGGCAAGGAAGGAAUACACUGAGCCAGGGUGCUGGUUUAUUGGUUUAUUUCCCACAAACGCUUGCCAUCGAUUGCUGGGCUGCAGACAAACAGCACACUGUUUGCUUUGUCCCUACAAGCCUUGGGUGAGACACGUUCAGCAUGUCAGCAUUUAAUCACUGGUGGCAGUGUAUUGGUUUUGUUAAACACAGAUAGCUUCUCUCUUCUGUUUCUCUUUUCAUAGAAUCAUAGAAUUAUAGAAUCAUUCAGGUUGCCAAAGACCUCUAAGAUCAUCCAGUCCAACCGUCCUCCUAUCACCAAUACUGCCCACUGACCACAUCCCUCAGUGCCACAUGUACACAUCCCUUGAACACCUCCAGGGAUGGUGGCUCCACCACCUCCCUGGCGCAACGUGAGGCCAUCACCUCUCAUCCUAUCCCUGUUACUCUGGAGAAGAGGCUGACCGCCCCUUCACCACAACCUUCUUUUGGCAGUUGUAGAGUACAGUAAGGUCUUCCCUGAGCCUCCUCUUCUGAACAAUCCCAGUUCCCUCAGUUGCUCCUCAUAAGACUUGUGCUCCAAACCCCUUACAGCUUUGCUGACCUUCUCGGGAUACAUUCCAGGUCCUUGUUGUCCUUCUUGUAGCGAGGCACCCCAAACUGAACACAGUACUCAAGGUUUUCUACUACUGUUGCUAGUACAUAAUUAGGCCUACAUAAAUCACCUUAUUCACGGAAAUAAAACAACUGAUGCUGCGGAAGACCUGCUGUCACACUCCCCAAGUGCCCUGAAAGAGUGGUGGUUCUGACAGCUGGGAGCUGCCAAAACAGAAGCUGCUCAAGCAGGUGCUCCUGGAGGGCUCAUGUACCCACUGUGCUCCAGGCAGUGCCGGCAGGGCCUCCCCUCCAUGCUGCAUCUCAAGCACCCACACUCCCAUUCCCACUGCUCCUCCCAGGGAUCUCUUCCAGUAACUUGCUCCUCUCCUGGUUGGAGGCCAUCUAUUCUUUACCACCUGGAAUAUGUUAAGGUUGGUAUUGUCCUGUGCUACUACUGCCCUUUAAUUGAGAUUGUUCUGUUUGCUUCCUGGUAGUCACUUCUUUGAGGAAUACCUCCUCCGCUCUCUGCACCGUGCAGACCCAGGACUCCCCCUAAGGCUGACUUCCUGUGCUCUCAGUCUCCUCGGGGGCCCUUCCCAAUCCCCAUGAGCCUGCCGCCAUGAGGCCAUGCCCACAGGUCCCAUCACCCGUUCUGCAGCAGCCUCUGCACCUCCUCUGCCUGGAGGUGCCUUUUUUCACUGUCCAUUGGUGGGUUUCUCACUGCCAUGCCUGCAGAUCUCGCUGCCCAGCCACCACCUCCUGCUGAAGAGCUCCCAGACCUCUACCAACUUUGUACUAACACACCCACUUCUGCCAUCCCACUUCUCCAGUUUCGCGUCCCACCCAAAAUAUCUAGUUCUGCCAAAUGAAAUGCCAUUCACGGUUCAGAUUACAUCUAGGAAGCGAUUCUCCUGCAGAUACAGUCCGUGGUAGCUUGUUCCCCCUCCAGUAAUCACAGAAUCACCAAGGUUGGAAAAGACCUCUAAGAUCAUCCAGUCCAACCGUCCACCUACCACCAAUAUUUUCUCCACUAAGCAACGUCCCUUAGUACAACAUCUAAAUGCUUCUUGAACAACUCCAAGGACAGUGACUUCCCCACCGCCCUCGGGAGCCCGUUUCAAUGCCUGACCACUCUUUCAGAGAAGAAUUUUUUCCUAAUAUCCAACCUGAACCUCCCCUGGCAUAACUUGAGGCCAUUCCUUCUUGUCCUAUCACUAGUGAUGUGGGAAAAUGUAGUCACAGAAUCAUUAAGGUUGGAAAAGACCUCCAAUAACAUUGGGAUCUCAGAGCAGUCCAGCAUCGGAAGGUAAAAAACGCGGCUCAUGUCCAAAAAUAUGAAAAUGGAUUGGACAAAUAUUGUAUUGUUAUCUAUUGUCACUGUCACGCGUAGCAGAAGUGGCUACAAAAUUCUUAAUCUGUAAGUCUCAGGCUGAUAACUAUGUCAGAAAACUCCUUCACAAAGAGCUGAAGUCUGGUGAUGGCCAACUCUGCCCAAGGUCCUAUAGUGCAGAUCACUUCGUGUCCUUACUCUGACCAGACCUGUGGUUGUAUGAAAUGACCGCAGAACCACCUGCUCUCCUCAGGUGCCCAGAACAGCUCAAAAAGCUGCUGAGAACUGGGAGUUGUUUGCAAGGCACUGGGAAGAGAGAGAGGCCAGCGAGUGCUCAGCACUGCUCCACUCAGCUGCCAUCCACUGGCAGGGUGAGAAGGACUGCAGAAAAUAGCAGCAGCCACUGUGGGUUCAGUUAUGAAUCACGGGAGGGACCUUUCUGUAUUUGGUGACUCGGUGCUAUGGUGACAAAAGCUCCACAAACACUUCACAGAGAGUAAGGUCAUGUGUUUUGUUACUUCUCGCGUAGGGUAGUGCUGCCUGGGAAUAACCUGUGGUGGUGAAUUUCUUUGAGUUGGUCCUUUUUCAACACCGCUCUUCUAGAAUAUGCUUUGCUGGGGUGAGAGACUAUUAUGGAUGCCAUCUCUGAUCCACUUUACCUGGUGGGCUCCUUACUGGCAGUUACCUGUGAGCAACACAGCCCUUGCCAUAUUCUCUGGAGUCCCCAUAUCCGCCCUGAAGUAGUGUCAAACUGUACAGAGGCUGAAUAGCAGCUGGAGCCAUCCUGCCUUGUAACAUACAGGGGCUGACUCACUGCAAGCUUCAUGCACUGGUGGGAUGAUGACCCUCCGAGUCAGUGUGUGCUUCCAAAUAGGACAUGUAGUCACCAUAACCGCACAGCUGAAGUGGGAAGGGUGACUCCCAAACCAUCCUCUUCUUCAUCCCUCUAGUUGUCCAUUUAGAAAAGCAUUUGGCACACUGGCUGUUCUUCCAACCUUUCCAAAUUCUUCAUAUCACAUUUGUUCCUGAGUCACCUUUAAUUGACGCCACUCUUCAAAUGUUUACAACAGCUCUGGCGGCUGUGCUGAUAUAGCAGAGAGCAGCAGUAACCAAAUGAAAAGAUUAAAUUCCUUGUGUUCACACUCCUAAAAAAGUGAAGGGUGAAGAAAUACUCUUUCACAAGGCUGCCCCUGAGUCUGGUCUCCCUACAAGUACAUUUCCCGUUUCCAGACACCAGAGGAGCACAGAGUUCAGUGCCGACCACAGCUCAGCCUCUCCAUGCAGCUCCCUUUGACAUUAACAAGGGAUGCCACUGGGACAAAGUGAUUUUUCUAGGUACCUGUCACAUCCUGCAGACAUAUAAGCAGACAAACAAGAACCGUAAUGCUGUGGAUGAGGAGUUCAAUUGGUGAUCAGACAACUUGGCAAAAUGUGUUGACUUACUCAGAGGUUUGAAAUGUAGAGUCGUGGAUCCAAGCUCCAGCUGAGGAAGUCUGGGGCAGAUUGGGAGAUGCAGGGAAGGGAAUGGCACUGUUCACUUCUUGCCUCGGUGCCUGGGUGCCUUUUACUCUCUUUCUCUCACGAACACAGCUGACAUGAUGACUUAGGCCCCUUUCUAGAGCAAGCACACCAUGCAUUUAAUACAGGCUCUUCACGUGCAUGCAUGGUUGAUUUUCUCUCCCUACACCUUUAUCCACAUUACCCUCACCCUGCCUGCCCCAUGGUUACAUGGUGAGGGGAGAUCAAGGGCUGGGAACAGAGCUGGGAUGCCAUCAGUACUGCCCACUGGUGGGAGCAGGGUCCCCACAGGUGGUGCUGGGUGGUGGCAGCAGCAGGGGCCUCCUGCUAAACCCUGCUGGCAUUGGGUUGAGGAUAGCAGCAUCAGUCCUUGCCUCCGUGCUACUGUGGCUCUUGCUUGUGGUAUGAGGAGCUUGGGAAAAGCAGUACAAACCCUGCUGUUGUGUCAGGCUUAAUGACCACUUAUUGGCCCAUGCACUGUUGAGCAAAGAGACUCCCUCUUAAUGAAGGUCAGAGUAAAUAACUGCGUACAAAUGAUGUUUAAUGGCUCAAAGUGAUGCUGAGUCCUUUAAGAUCAAGGUAAAUGGUCUCUAAUUAUACCUGGAUUUCUUCUUCCUCAAAUGAGAUCAACCAGUACACCAAGGAUCAAGUCCUUUCAGCCAGGGAAGUCAUUUAUGAGUAAAAAAUACAUCAUUUUUAUUAAAAAUGACAAAAAUACUUUGUCAUCUUUGUGAAAUAAAGGUUACAAUGAAUGACUGUGUGGAUAAAUAAAUGGAGAUCAGUAAUGUGCAUGUAACUAGCAGUACUUACCAUCUGUGUCUCCUUUGGUUAGGAAGAUGGAACACACUACUCUAACUCUGCAGGUGGAACUACAGAGACCAGGAAGAAGGAUGUGGCUUCUCCAGUCUCACAAUGACUUGCUUGUCAAGUAUGAAACACCUGAGUGGAAAUACACAAACACAAAAGCCUGUUCACAAAUGGGAAUAAAAUAUGAAAAGAAUCAGCAAACCUUUCUGUUCCUACAACAGAAGGGUUACCUGUUGUGAGGGCGAGAUAUCAAACGUUGUGUAACACCUGCCAUGUCCCUGACAGCCAGCAUCACAUAUCCCACCAGUUCCCCCUAGGGACACUGGAGGGGCUGUCAGCAGGAGCUGGAAUCGAGGCUGCUUGUCAAGAAAUGGUUUUAUUUGAUAAACUCGUUGGCAUUUGGAUUCCUGCUGAUGGCAGAGCUGAGGGACGAGCACAUCAGCAGCGUAACUGUUUCUAAGCUGACUGCCAAAUGGUUUCCCCGUUUCGCAUUUACACUGUGCCAAGUGAGCUUACAAGCCCUUCCUUUGCUCUCCUAUUGCUGGACCAUGAAAAAAAGAGGCAGCUGUCCCCAGCCUCUUUGUCAGCUCGCCUUCUCUCCCACUGUUUACCUUACUUCUUUACCUUGCAAACAGCUCACCUCUCAGAGCCCGAGCUAAGCCCAGCCCUUUUGUGCCCCGCAGUCAUCGCUCCAUCUUUAGGGGAAAGCUGAUUCCCAGGAAUGCUGUGCAUGCACAUACCUAUCUGGGCGCUGCACCCACACCUGCCCACCCGCUAACCCAGCGCCCGCUGGCCCUCGCAGCCGCAUUCCAGCCAGCAGAGCUAUUGCUCGCUAAUUGUUACCUGUCAAACAGGUAAAUGAGGCUCUUGGGCCAAGUCCAAACAAGCACAUAUUCCCACCAAAUCCUAAACUUGCAAACCUUUAACCUUUUUGCAGCCCCGCUGAUGGUUUUCACUGAGACUGAUUGGAAAGUAUGACGGUAUCUUCCAUGGAUGGAAAAAAAGCGCAGCGUUUGGCUGUUUGUUGUGACAGAGCUCUCCUACACGUCAAUACCUGCAGCGGAGCACAGCAGGCACCCAAUGCAAGAGGCGUGUGCGAUGGCUCCCACACCACAUGAGCGGCCUUCCAAGAUCACAGAAUGCUGUGCCAAUCCCAAAACGGCGUCUGGACGGUGAAGGGAUUCAUGUGUACAGAGUCUGGGGGGCUGGAAAAGUCAUUGUGCACGCAGCCUGGAGCCACGUGGGAGGGCUGUGAACUGGCAUUUCCUGCUCCAUGCACCCAGUUCAGACUUGCUCUGCCGAGUGCAGCAGGAGGGUCUGCGCUCCCGGGCGCAGGCAGCGGCCUGUUACGGUCCCACAGUGUGCGAAGUUGGCUGGUGUUAGCUUCCUGCACAGGCCACAGAGGGAAAAUGGCGCCGACCAAGCUGCUCCCAGCUAAAGCUCAGUCCCCAUGGCUAGCUCUGCAGAAAAGACAUUGCUCCGCAGAAGCACUCACAAGGCAGCCUGCUCUUGUGGUAAUACAUUUCACAUUCUUCCACGUCAGAAUGCACUGAAAGAAAAAGUGGGUUCUGUCGAAACCCCACAGCUACAAAUCCCAUUAAAAACAGCACAGGUGUCACUGCUUUUCCGUGCUGCCCUCUUGCAGGCUCCUGGCUCGGACUGCAGGCUCUCUGCGACCGGGGCCGUGGUACCACACAUCCCCACGUGCGUGACACCAUCUGACGGCACUUCUGAGCCCAGCGUCAGCCUCACCUGCGUGCUGCAUUGAGUCCCUCAGUUGUCAGGGCCUACCGGACAACAAAGAGGGGAGAGUAAAUGGUAGAAACCAGUUGUUACUGGUAAUAACAGAAACACGAUCUCCCCACCAAGAUGGUAAUCUUUCCCCACAAAGGCUGCAGAUACCUCCAUGGUACACCCGAUUCUGACCUGCCUCUCACCUCAGCUUUAUCCCAGUCAUACCAGAAUGCUUGGAUCUCCCAGGCAUUGCUUAGACUGUAGGUGAAUUCUAUGUUGGAAGUAACCUGGCAAAAGCAGUCAUUAGACCACUGGAAAAGCAAAUGGGUUUUUAGGCUUUAUUUGAAGGAGCACUUAAAUAUAUAUAUUUCAACUUAACAGUAGCUCUAGAAUGAGGUUUAGCACUGCUUUUUUGGAACAGUCUAAUGCUUUAAACUGAUUUUUACUUUUUCUUAGCUGAUAUGAGAACAGCUGUACUUGCACAGCUUCAGCUCAGCCCAGCACCUUCCCUAAAUGGCACGAGAUUUGCUCAGAAGAGAUCCUGAGAGUUACAGCUGUGGUACCAGGUUUUGAGGGGCUGAGCUGAGCUCUGGGCUCCCACAGACCCAGUGUGUCAUGCAGAGAUUCCUAUAGAAAUCAGGAAUUCUCUGCAGUUUCUUCUCUAUGGUCCUCUCCUUCUUCUUGAUUUGCGACUCCUCCCUCUUUUCAACUCACAGAGGGAUUAAGCAGCUGUCUGAUCUGCUCCUCUCUCCUUGCCACGCUCUGGCACAGAGUGCCUUCCAGCCUGUCACUGGGUUCCUACGCUGCAUGGGUUGCUGCACUCUGUAUCUUCACACUACUAUUGUCCAGCAGUACCAGAAACCAUUACUAAUGGUUCCCACAGGUAUUUUGCUUAAGAUAAAAGGGAAGACACCUUGAAAGAUACAAAGCACUUCUGCUUAAAAAACACUGCGAAAGCUGACAGCUGUAUUAUUACUAAUACCCACCGAGAACCAGUUAGAAAUACCUUGGCCGAAAAAUAUUAUUCCUGUGUAUCUCAUUCCAGUUCUGACAAACAUACUGAACGGUGAGCAUCAUUUCAGGAAUCUGUUGCUCCACAAAAGCUAUUAAGACUCCUGGAGCAGCUGGGUUCUUUGGGCUGCCCAGCCAGCUGGGCAGCUUAUCUACAGCAGAGGUGGUUGUAUGGGGCUGUUAUCUCUUUUUUCUACAGGAUUUUGUGAGGGGGCAAAAUAGCUUGAAGUCUGAGGUUUCUUUCAGAUCUGUAGAAGAACUUCUAUGCCUAAAAGUCUGUUCACUUUUCCCUACCCUCUUCCCAGAUCAUCACUUCUACAACAUAGCUGCUAUAUGAAGGAUGGUCCUCUUUGUUUGUUAGCUCUCACUGUGGAUGACUGUGAGGGUCGGCCUCUUCUCCCAUGUAAUAGUGACAGGACAAGAGGUAAUGGCCUUAAGUUGUACUGGGGGGUGGGGAAUUGGAUCUAAAGACAAAUUUCAUCUCAGGAGUUGUGAGGCAUUGGCAGAGGCUGCCCAGGGAGGUGGUGGAGUCACCGUCCCUGAAAGUGUUGAAGAAUUGUGGAGAUGUGGCACUGAAGGACAUGGUCAGUGGGCAUGGUGGGGAUGGGUUGGCAGUUGGACUGGAUGAUCUCAGUGGUCUCUUCCAACCUAAAUGAUUCUAUGAUUUAGCUAUUUCUCAGCAGCUGGAGAAGAGAGUUAGCUGUCUGGAGGGCUGGUCAACAGGAGGGUUAAGGAAACCAGGCUACAAGCACCCAUCUGCUGGUUGCCAGAAGAGAUGACUUAGGCCACCAGCCCACGCACUGCAGGUCACUGCCUACCAGCAUGGGUUCCUCACAUUACCCACUUCUGACUCCAGCUUGUGCAAAACCGCAUUACUCAGAGCUGGUUAACACAGGAAAGAAGCUUUUUAGCUCCUCCAAAGCUCACAAGUGAACCUCCCUGCUAUUGCUCCUUGGUGUCUUUGUGAAGUGUAAUACUGGUUAAUUUAAUUGUGAGGGUGUGUAACAGUUUAAAGCUGUGUUUACAGCUGUUUCAGAUCUGAAAAAGCAAAUGUGAGGACAAGAAAACAUGUAACUCCGGAGAGUUCCAAAACCAGCAUUCCCAAAUGAAAGUAUAAAUGAAGGAUUCUCACCAGCGGGAAGUAAUUGAGCAAAAUAGAUGCACCCCUCAUUAAACAAAGCCCUGAUUAGUUCAGCGGUGCCAGUGAUGCAACUGAUUCGUACCAUUUUGCAAAUCUCUUUUUCCACAGGCCGAGCCCUUGGGUUCACAUAACACCAGUGUGCUAUUUGAAAAACUCUGAUUCUUCAGUUGUCCACCAGGGAACAGCUUGAGAGGGAAAUACUGGGAUGCUGACAGACGGAUUGUAUGUUUUUUAAAUGUCACGAUUCUAAAGCACCGUGCAAGGAAGGGGCUGCGACUGCCUGUGUGCACUCACUGCAGAGUCCACAGCAGGGUUUGAGGCUCGGGGUCUCCAGAAUGUGUUCUGUCCUCUGCUGCAAACAUGACAUGAAAGAGGUAAAAAGUCACAUAACAAGACUUGUGCAUUUGUUAAAAGGGGGGGGGGGGGGGGGAAGAGCUCAGGCCUCAAAUGCCUUUAUGUUUGCUGUGGCUCAAGACACAGCAAGCAUUUCUGACAUUGCUUCUGUGCAUGAUGGGAGAACUUGUUACACUGCUAAUACUACGUUAUCUUCCUACCAUCACACUGCCUGCUGCCCACAGCAGUUUCUUUAUUGCUGGUAUCAAGGGCAAGGACUGACUGCAUGGGCAGAGGUGCCUGUGCUCGGGAUGAGACAGCUCCUAGCCGCUAAUUAGCCGCUAAUCCCGUGCACCGAGGUUCCCACAGACCGUGAGGGCUUCCUUUGGUGACUUUUCAAUUAGCAUCAUAACACCCCGAGCUUUGAAUGCUUUGUAUAUAUUUAUCUUUGCUCCCAGUUGUCAGGGCCAGCCAACGGGAAUUAAACCAAUUUAAGAGCAUCUGUGUGUCUAUUAUUUGGCAGCUAUUAGCCGAAAUUGACAUAAUCCUCCUCCCUGCUGAGAGAUAGAUAAUUUAUAUCAACUUCGGUGUGACUUGCUAGGAUUCUUCCACAGUACUGGCGAGAAAUCGUGCAGAUACCGGUAGGAAAGUGGAAUUCUAGCACGUACAGGAGAGAAGUGCCCUUAUGGCACCGCUAGCGGCAGCAAGCAGGGCUGGCCGAGGCAGGCAAGCGUUGCUACUGGCUACUGCCCCAUCGCUGCUGGAAUGUUAACGACCGCUUUGUCAUACCGAGGGCACCUAACAGCCAUCCCGCCCAGCUCAAUAGGCACCGCCGCCCAACUCCUCUUAACGCAGCCGAGGGCUGCGGCCGGUGCAAUUCCCAGCAUUAAUGGACACUCUCUGAGCAGAAGCACUUCAAAGCACCCUCCCCAGGCUCAAAAGGCUCUCCCCAUCUCGGUACGAUGGGCUGUUUACACUGAGGUAAUUGCCGUGUGUAUAAUUGGCCUUGCUUACAGAGAAGAUGCUCAGAUAUCCUUGGUCACCCUUCCCCUCUCCCAGCCUCGUUGGAAGCUCUGGAACUCAAAGAAAACAACGGAGGGGAAAUCCUGCCUCCCUGCCCUCAUCUUGCCAGGCUGGGUUCAGAGGGCCAAAGCAUCUGCUUUAACCCCAGGCACAGCCGACAGAACUUGAGCCAGCCCUGCAACCACUUCCAAAGCACAGAACAGUGAUGCAGUGCAAAGGGCAACUCAAAACGACCGACGUCUUCAUAGUACUGUCUGUAAAAACCAGCCACGUCUUUUAUACACACAUCUCUUGAGGGAAGGAUGGCCAUUUAACCUGCAGUGUAGAAAAUACCUUCUUGAUUGGAUAGCUGCUCUCAUUCAUAGACUUCCACGCACUCGGUGGCUUCACUGGGACUAUGGCGAUGCAUGCCGUGCACCUGCAGAAACUCACUGCUACUCCAGCCAGUGGAGGAGGCUGACAGGCUCAAAGCAGCAGCUGCUGCCAGAGCUGUGGGUGAUGCUAUGUCUCUGCGGUGCCAAGAGACAUCACAUGAGGCAGCCACGUGUCAGACUCCAGGAGAAGAACUGGGCUGGGCGAAUGCUGUAAUUAAUUCCCCAUGCUUACACCUGGAAGGCUUUCAUUCAUCCCAAACAGAAAAGACUGCUUUUCGUGCACUUUCACAAUUACUAAAACUCAAAGCUAAAACCGAGUUACUGCCAAAAGAGGUGGGUCUGCCCUACAACUCCUGUCCCUUUGCUUUUGUUGUCUCCAUCACUCCCACAGUUUGGGAAUGGAGUUUUACAGGGUCAAACCAGCCUACUUACUUGCCUGAAAACUAACCCUAUUGAAAGCAAAAACAAAACGGUUCUCUGGAGGUUGAAAGAGCAAGUCUGCUGAUGUGACAGAAGAGGGAAGAAAUGCAUGAUUUAGGGUAAGGAGAAAGCUCCUUUGGGCAGGCACAUAUUCUUCCACUGAGCUAAGUCAACCAGUGGCAACUGGAAUGCUUUCAACCUGUUAGACCUCCCAGAAAAACCCCUCAACUUCACUGUAAGAAGGGGGGCUGAAGCAUGUUGUUACCAAGAUGUUCUCAUCCCUUACCUUACAAACAAGGCUGCAGGACAGCCAGGGUGACAGGACCUUCUGACAUUCUCCUAUGUGCUGCUUUUUCCCAAGUUGCUGCAUGCUCACUACUGUGACCUUGGGGCUAUCAGGGAAAUCCCCAUUACUUCCUGCUCCACUGUGCUGUGGUGCCAAGCUCGGUGCCCACUGCCUACACUUCACACGGGAGAGAAAUAAUGAUGAGAAAGUACAACCUUGGUGGAGAUUGACUCUGUUCUGCCCGGGGUAAGAUCUUUCCUGGAAGCCAACUACAACACUGCAUCAUCAGUUGUCGCAUGCAAAUACUGGUGUCAGCUUAGAGUUAUCCGUACAGCAUUUAAACUCAACCUGUGUAGCAUAGGGGCUAAACCAAUUGGCUCUGAUAAGACAAGAUGAAGGCAUUUGCAUUUAAAAUCCUACAUUUCACAUGUGGGUUGUCUAUUUAGUGAGCACUGUUCAUUCUGAACUCUUUCCCUUUGCACUCUAUCUUCAUCUUUGCUAUUGAUUUAAGCUAAAAAGGGCAAGGCCAGGCUGAGAAAGGCACCACGCACUCUCUCAGGCACUGUCUGGGAGUCCACAGGAGGCUGAGGCAGUGCUUUCAGCGAGCAGUCAGUAAGGGCUAAGAAUCUCCAAGGCACUCAAUGCUCUGGCGCUACUUUGUCAAAACAUGUAGGCUCUGCCUGUACAGUUUAAAAAUAAAUGCAUUCUAAACUGGGGAACUUGCUGGUUUCAGUGGGAAUGCAGGCAUACUUUCCAGGAGUUGGGCUGAAGCAUUUAGCAAACUACCUGUCUGCUUCUGGCACCAGCCUGAGAGAUGGGCAUGGGGUUAAUAAAUUCCUGGCUCUGCAGAUUCCCCACAAAACCUUUGGCAAGUGUGUUGCUCAAAAACCUCACAUACAAAAUGGAGAGGUGCUGCACCUACCUCCUCAUGUCUGCCUUGUGCUCCUCCUUCAAGAGCUCCACAGGUCAGGAAUUGUCCUGGACAGCUGGGAUCUGGGUCAAAACUUGAGCAACUUCACCAAAGCUUGAGCAACUUCAUCCUGAUACCAACCUGUGUCUCUGCCCCAGGGCACAGAGCCUGCAGGCUGUCAGUCUGGCCUCCCUCUCAUACAGGUUUACUGGAAUGACACAGCCAAAGCGUAUGAGUUUUGCCUUCCUCUCCAGGCAGCUUAACUGUGGUAUUAAUUAGGAGUGAUUUAUACCCCCAGCAAUGGUAAGGCAGGGCUCGUCUUCCCUGGAGAAGUCCUAGUAAUCAGAGUGAAGUUUAUAGCGAAAUAAAGAGCAACACACAUAUCUCACCCCCACCCUACCCUGCAGGGCAAUUGCUCAUGUGUGGGAGCUCAAGAAAAAAGCAGUACAGAAAUGUAAAUGUAAAUCUGCCUGCUUUGCCCCUCACACCCAAGCACACCAUAUAAACAAACAGCCAUCGCCAGGUAGUUUUCUAGUCAAAUAGAGAGAAACAAGUACUCAGCAUCUCUGUGGCUGGAGCCACACAAAACUUCUUCAUGCGGGAUACUUUCACCUUGCUUAGGAAGAAGAUAAGAUUUCCAUCCACUUGGGAAAAAGGUGAAGAAAAGAAAAUGUAAGGAAAAAUCACAGCUGUUGUAAAUCCUAUUUGAGAAGGGACUCAGAGAAACAAAGGUAAGGUUAAAAAGCAGCACAUGCCACAGUCACGGGACACAGGCAAAGGAGACAGAAGCAGCUCCUAACUCCAAUCUGUUAAAACACAAUAUGAAGAUCAAUACUGGAUUGGGCAGCGUAAUAAUGCACACAGGUAACAGUGAUAGUGUGAAAGCAAAAUGAGGUACAAAAGAACUUGGGACCUGUAUGCUCUGUGAGCCCGAUUCCCGGUCUGUCUCUCCCAGCACAACGGCACAGGACAGGACAGAGCAGUCAGCACACCUCCCUGCCUGGCAGGGCAGUUCCACCAGCAGAAAUCUACUUUCACAGCAGAGACUUAGCAGUGAUAAAGCAGGCUUGUAGGUGCAUGCAGGGCGUGUGCGCUGUACAAACAUGGUAUUGCUGAGAUGCUGCGCCUGAUAGUGCAGGCUGAUGGAGUGACUGCAGGGGAUCUACAACUGGGGUCUUCCCCACGCCAUAGCCUGAGAGAUCCUGAAGCUCCAAACCCAGAUAGCAGAGAAGGCCAAAGAUUAUGUUGGCAAGCUCUGAGCCUACACUGCCCUGAAGCCUGACGGAGUAACACUACGUACUCACAACACCGCCUCUAUAUUUAUGAACAAGAUCAGUGGGAGUGCUUUCUUCUGAAAAACUGCUCCAUUUCAAAAGAGAACAACAGCAAAUAGCAGAAAGACCUAUGCCUGUCUGUAAAGGUGCUUUAGCAGCAACAGAGACAGUGGCCUAGUGACCCUUCCAUAGAACAAGGCACAGCAGAGAUCUCUUGGCUCCAGCAGGGGUUUCUUUUCUGCCACCAGCCCAUUCCCUUUGUCUUCUGCCACAACUGAGCAGCAUCCUGGGGCAAUCAGCUCCCCCUCUUCUCAGCAAGCCUGGAAAGCUGUCUCUUCCAUUCCCUGUGAUUCCUUAAGCACCUGACUACUUGAUUAAGGCAUCGACUUAUUUUGAGGAAGAAACGGGUUGCUUCUAAGCAAAUCCACAGCUUUGUUUCCCAGCUCCUAUUUCCCCAUUCGGAAGUGUUUCUGUGGAAUCUCUGAGCUGAAUUUACUCCAGUUCCCAAGUGUGGGAAAAGUAAACAAGCAAUUGUUUAUAUGCCAUCCUUCACCUUCUGCGCGCUGGAACACCAGAGCCUAUUUUAGGACAGUACCGUUACAGCAAGAAGAGAUGCACUCUUCAUUGGCUUUCGACUGCUCUUAUUGCAGGGUGGGGUGACAGACCUGUGGAGCUUCUGUGUUUUUUAAAAACACCCAACUGAUGCAGAGACAUACAAAGCUCUCGGGGAUGUGAUCAACGUGUGAAAACCUAUUUCAGAUUCCUUUCAAAUGAUGCUCUGCAAAUCAUAAUGAUUCAAGAACGGACCGAUGAGGGCUGGGAGCAGAAGCCCCAGCAGCCAAUGCAGAGUGCCAUUCCUGCUCCCCUGUGAGAGCCCUUCAGCUAGGAGCAGCCAUCCAUCCAAUUGUUUGUUCAACUGGGUCACUGAAAAACAGAAAAAGAAGCUUUUAUUAUGAAAAGGAAGAUGGUUUUCAAAGUACUACUGCUGACAACCAACCAAAAAACAAAACCAACCCCACAACAGACAGCCAUUAGGACAGUUUUCUUCCGACAUUCCUCAGGAGCUCUUCACAACGUGGACAAACUACAAGCAUUUCAGCUUUCUCCCCAAACAACUCAGUCAGGAUUACUCAAGAUGUGUCUGUGAAGCCGCAGAUUUGUUCUGUGAUGAUGCAGAGGUCCUGCUGAGUACCACAAGAAGUCAGACAAAGCAUCCAACGAUGCACUGGAUAUUCUUCUCAGAGGUCAGGUUAUUUAGGUCCCACUCCUCUACCCCACCAUGACACAGUAUCAGUUUCAGCUUAAUUAAGGUAUUUCCGAGUCCCAGGUCCCACAGCACAUCAAGCUGUCUUCCAGAGAUGUUUUCUUAUUCUUCUUCAGGCAGAGUUUUUCCUGCCAUUAGGUGACCUAACCAUGGUUUCCCCUUGUCCCAAAACGCUUGGCUGAAUCACUGGAAAAUGCUAUCAGAGAUCAAAGCAUCUGCAGAAAAGUUAUCCCUGCGUAUUACAUUCUGUUGAAUUGGUUUCAAAGCAAUGAGUAAUCUUUAUGAAAUGGAUGGGUACUACUAAUCAAGAAGCUAAUAUUCCAAUCUACUGUCAGACUUAGAUGCUCUCAGAUGUCUCCAUGUCCCAGCCCAGAGAGGACUGCCACACUCUGACCCAUUUUCACCACUAAAAAUGAUUUCUGUUCUAAGCUGAAACAGGGUUCUGCGUGCCAUACUGCCUAAGACAGUGUUGCAGAUAUGUUUACAUUGUAACGCUGACAUCUUUCAGAAUCAUGAACUCUACGCUCAUAAUGAGCAAACAAAGCCCCUCCUUUUCUUCUUACAUGGUUCCAGUUGCUCUGAGGACUCUAUAAGACAUGCAGAUCAGCAUUUCAGAUAAAGGUGGCACAUGCAGCCCCAUGCCCUGCCCUGGGGCCGGGAAGCACUCCAUCACAGAAUCACAGAAUGGCCUGGGUUGAAAAGGACCUCAAAGAUCAGCUAGUUUCAACCCCCCCUGCCACGGCAAGGUCGCCAACCACUAGACCAGGCUGCCCAGAGCCUCAUAUUCCAUGGUCCUCUGUGCUGUUCAACUGCUGUUGCCACGCAUGAUGUGGAGGCAUCGGAGAGCUCCAGGUUCUUACUGAGAUCCCAGCUGCGCUAUCUGGGAAGCGCAACUGGCAGGUUCCAGGCAGCAGAUACUUGUCACUAGUCACAGCAUUCUGAUAGCACUUUCAUAUUGUUUCAUUGUGAAACAAUACAAGUAACCCGUUGUUACAAUCUUGGUUACUUAGGAUUACUUUCUUUACCUUACAUGUUAAUAGUGUAGCAUAAUCUAUUAUUAGAACACACAAAAGAUCCAUUUGGAGUAUAGGAAAGCUGCACUAAGAUCUAUUUAUUUUGAUGUACGUGACGGCGUUGUUGAAGUCAGUUGAAGAUCAAGGUCUGUACAAAUUCCAGUAAAUAUAGUUUCAUAUAGAAGAUAACUACAAAGGGAAGGCUACGGGGAGGAUUAACAGUAAAUGCAUCACAAAAUUAGUAGGUAGGUGGUUGGCUUUGAACUUACUGCAAGAGAGCAUUUUAUAUCAACAGCCAUCAAUGACACAGAAACACACAAAUAAAAAUACGUGGUAAUCACUGCCUACUGCAAACACUUGUUUCCAAACAUCUGUGCUCUCACUGAGCUGCCUCACAACGCUGUUUUGACAUAAAUACCUCUCUAACAUCUUUUAUCGCACAGACUUCUUUUAAUAGUUUUCUGAAUGAUAUUUUAGGUACUUACUGCAAUUAGUAAGCUGAGCUGAACCUUGUUUGUGCACCCUACUUCCUCUGCCCAGUGCUGGCAAGUCCAAACAGCGCUGAUGCUGGCUGCUAUGGAACACAUCAUGUAAACACGAGGUAAAGCGUUAGACAGUUGAAUUCUACACUGACUCCUUACAACAACAAGCAAGAAAAAGAAACACCCUACCAGGUUGAGAAGCUGGUUCGCAAAGAAGCAAACAGCACGAAAGUGAUCUGCUAUUGUAGAUUGUUCCUGUACACUCCAAAGACAACUCCUAGAUUUAUAAUAAUGUAUUGCAUGACCAUUUUAUUUUUGCCCUCCACAGCCUUUAUUCAAUGAGAAGCAAGACUGGUCUGGCCUGAAAUAACAUUAGAUGAUUUUUUCAGUGACUAACAGAUUAGUUUAUAACAAUCCUGGAGCUCAUGAAGAAUGAGCAGCGGGCUGGAUGAGGCAGGACCUGUUUGACCUGCUAGGCUGGACGCUCACAAUUGAAUUCCAGUUUGCAGUCUGGAACAAAAUGCUCAUCCAGAAAACGAUGAGCCCAAUCCCUACUAUCUGCUUAAAAUAAUUUUCAGGGUAUAUUUGUUCACCUAAGCAAUAAGCUGUCAUCUUCAACAAACUCAAAUCAAGAGUUCAUUACCGCAUUUCUCACUUCUGUUCUUAACUUUGACCUUGAACACUUCUGCAGCCACCGAGCAGUAAUUCAGUCUCCCAGCUGCUUCACUGGAAGCAAUCUCUCCCGAGAGCAGGCUGCUAAAGGCGGUUUUGUAGCUGACCCAGUACUAGAACAACAAAUUCCAUUUCAGUCUGAGUUACAGUUUGGGCUUGGUCCAGGACUGCAGAUGGCAUCAGAUGCUGUUUUCUUCCCUGCAAAAUCAUACAUGAGCAGCAUUGCUAACUUGGGGAAGGUGGCAUUUUCAAAAACGUUCAUCUUCCUUUCCUUCCUCCUAUACAUUUCAUAGAGAAGGGGGGGAAAGUGAAAGCCACACAUCCAAAUGUUCCCCAUAAUCUGAAAAAAGUAAAAAGGGAAAGAGGAUACCUGAAUUGAGGUUAAUCCUAUUUACAGCACUCAAUUAGGUAGCCUUUUCAGGUCUCAAAAGCUUCUUUCAACAUAAUAUCAAUAUUUGUGAAUGAAAUCUUAUCAUUUCUGCAGUUAGCAGUAAGGUUUCAUUAACUUAAACCGUGAUAGGAUUCCCAUUAUUCCUCCAGAACAGCUCACAACAUCUCACAGUAGUGUGCCUGGGAGGCUCUACUUGUCUCAAGAUGACAUAGUAAUUUUUUAUACAAAACAACUGAAGUAUUUGUAGUGAAUAAAUUACUCAGCUUCUCUUCUUUGUUUUACAAAGUCUUAUUGCUUCCUCAAAAUGUGUUCUACAGACUGACUUAUCCAGGCAUUGUUAUUCAUAACGGCCUACAGACUGAGAAGUUCAAUACCAGUAUUUGCUAUCCACAAUUCAGGCCACAUCAGCAGCUUUCGAUGGGAUUUACUGAUUGCAUAAUGAUUCUUCUUUCCUGCGACUGAAAACAAAGGAAGGCUACGUAAUACUCUGUGCUCAGUCCAAGUGUCAUUAACCUAGCUAAACUACAUUUCUAAUUCUAAAAACAUAACGGGGAAUCCGGCAGAGGGACUGGACUACAUGAUCUUUUGAGGUCCCUUCCAAUCCCUGACAUUCUGUGAUUCUGUGAUCUUCUUGGGACUACACUUGAGCUGACUUAAAACAGAGCUAUAUUGAUUUGGCUCUAUCUGGUUAGUUACUAUGAAUAUAGGUAAGGGCUGAGAGAUAGUAACAAUCAUUUGUGCCUGACUGUGAUCCAGUAAUAUCAAAGACUUCCAAGCACCAACCUUGAUUUCCACUGCACUGAAAGAGGAUUGCAAUUCUAUGCGGUUACAGCCACAUACACAUACAUUCAGAGGUUGCUCUGAAGGUAAUGCUUCCUAUUUAUUUCCAUGGAAACUACAACAGAGAAUGAUAACACAAUUUGUGUUAUGAUAGAGCAAAAUUCAGCUACAAAACACUAUUUUUCAACACAGCUAUCACCAUCAGCUGAUUCACGUAGGUGAGCUGGUUGAGACUCUCUUCACUUUGAGGUGUGACAGCUGUGCAUGGACAUCCAGAAUGUGGCUUACAUCUGUUGCACCCACCCACCGCCUCCCUGUGCUCACAUCCAUUGAUUGCCUCCAUAAAUGUUCAGCAAGCAUCAAUGAAUGUCAGCGGGUGCCAUUUUUUCCGCAUGGAGGAAUUUAAUUCCACACCUUUGCUUCAUAUGGACUCCCAUGUCGGAUGCCACUUUGUCAGACUGCCCCUCUGCUGCCAUCCGUCACACGGCAACAUCACGUAACAGAUGUUGGUGGGAAGGUUCAGCCUCCACUGCCAUACCAACAACAUCCACCUCGGAUGCUGUGGGCCAACAAAACAAAACAGAAUCACAGAAUCAAAAUCAGGAGGCAUUACUUUUGGAGCAGCCCUCACGCUUGGUUAUACGGAUGCUUAUUUUUGUGAACACCUUUCUGCCAUGUCCUCAUCAGCCGAAAUCAAAGGUAGAAGAAUCCUUCUCCCGGGACGGUAUAAAUUCCUUCAGCUAACUUUACUUUCCUGCAAAGGUCACCGUGCAAUACAACGGCCUAUUUACGCCACACGCAGCGCUGUCUGUGAGGCAGAGGCGAAGCCAGACGCCCGGGAAGACGUCUCGAGGUGAGGAGCUGUACAUGUGGCAGCAGCGAGGAGCGGCGAGGUGCCGACCCGCUCCGCCGGGGGAACGCGGACCGAGCGCAGGCGUUUUCCUUUCUUCUCCGGCUUCCGAGUUGACCUGAGGAGCCCUUUUCCUACACCUUCCCCACCAUCGGAUGACAGCUGCUGCCCCCAGAGCUCCAUCCCGUCCUUCCGGACGGCACUGAGGCGCUGGCGCAGCGCCCGGGGGUGCAGCGGGCUGAGGGCCCCUCCGCCGCGUGACGCAGCUCCGCGCUGUGAGGAGCGCUGUG
ensembl:lncRNA